rnacentral:rRNA from 1 species
AUCAGGAAGAAAGCUUGCUUUCUUUGCUGGCGACCGGCGCACGGGUGAGUAACACGUAUCCAACCUGCCCUUUACUCGGGGAUAGCCUUUCGAAAGAAAGAUUAAUACCCGAUAGCAUAAUGAUUCCGCAUGGUUUCAUUAUUAAAGGAUUCCGGUAAAGGAUGGGGAUGCGUUCCAUUAGGUUGUUGGUGAGGUAACGGCCCACCAAGCCUUCGAUGGAUAGGGGUUCUGAGAGGAAGGUCCCCCACAUUGGAACUGAGACACGGUCCAAACUCCUACGGGAGGCAGCAGUGAGGAAUAUUGGUCAAUGGGCGUUAGCCUGAACCAGCCAAGUAGCGUGAAGGAUGAAGGCUCUAUGGGUCGUAAACUUCUUUUAUAUAAGAAUAAAGUGCAGUAUGUAUACUGUUUUGUAUGUAUUAUAUGAAUAAGGAUCGGCUAACUCCGUGCCAGCAGCCGCGGUAAUACGGAGGAUCCGAGCGUUAUCCGGAUUUAUUGGGUUUAAAGGGAGCGUAGGUGGACUGGUAAGUCAGUUGUGAAAGUUUGCGGCUCAACCGUAAAAUUGCAGUUGAUACUGUCAGUCUUGAGUACAGUAGAGGUGGGCGGAAUUCGUGGUGUAGCGGUGAAAUGCUUAGAUAUCACGAAGAACUCCGAUUGCGAAGGCAGC